UGGGGAAUCUUGCUCAAUGGGCGAAAGCCUGAAGCAGCGACGCCGCGUGGAGGAUGAAGGCCUUCGGGUUGUAAACUUCUGUUAAGUGAGAAAAAAGGUGCUUUGUUAAUAGUAAAGCAAGAUGAUUGUAUCACUAGAGAAAGCACUGGCUAAUCUCGUGCCAGCAGCCGCGGUAAUACGAGAGGUGCAAGCGUUAUUCGGAAUCAUUGGGCGUAAAGGGUGCGUAGACGGUAAUAUAAGUUUGUUGUUAAAAUUCCUGGCCUAACUGGGAGUCUGCAAUAAAUACUGUUUUGCUAGAGAAUGAGAGAGAGAAGUGGAAUUCUUGGAGUAGCGGUCAAAUGCGUAGAUCUCAAGAGGAACACCGAUGGCGAAGGCAGCUUCUUGGCUCAUUUCUGACGUU
rnacentral:rRNA from 1 species